GAACUGAAGAGUUUGAUCAUGGCUCAGAUUGAACGCUGGCGGCAGGCCUAACACAUGCAAGUCGAGCGGUAGAGAGAAGCUUGCUUCUCUUGAGAGCGGCGGACGGGUGAGUAAUGCCUAGGAAUCUGCCUGGUAGUGGGGGAUAACGUUCGGAAACGGACGCUAAUACCGCAUACGUCCUACGGGAGAAAGCAGGGGACCUUCGGGCCUUGCGCUAUCAGAUGAGCCUAGGUCGGAUUAGCUAGUUGGUGGGGUAAUGGCUCACCAAGGCGACGAUCCGUAACUGGUCUGAGAGGAUGAUCAGUCACACUGGAACUGAGACACGGUCCAGACUCCUACGGGAGGCAGCAGUGGGGAAUAUUGGACAAUGGGCGAAAG
rnacentral:rRNA from 1 species